ensembl:snoRNA
GCAUGGGUUUGGAUUUAUGGCAGGCUUGUCCCCCUGGGCCUCUCAUAGUGUCCCAUGCCAGAGCAAACGCGGCCCCAAACCAUUGCCUGGCCUCUGCCAGUAGGCUGCAGGCACUGAAGUGGGUUGCACAGUG